UUCAAUUUUGCGAUCCUUCCCAAAACUCAUGCUGCUUUCCAAAGACCUAAUUCAUUAUACCCACAUGACCUCUCAACUAAAAUUCAUAAUCGAUCUCUUCUCCAAAACCAACUCAUAUGGUUUCCUACCUAUAAUCCCAAUCAUUUGACCGUACUUAGCCGCGAGCGACCACCACUCGACCGUUGGCAGUAGCUCGACUUGAGCAAUCAACCCAUUCAAUUGCUUCAACUACAACAAUCAACCACGUUCCAAUCGACCCCUUUUGAAAGGUUUGAAGUUGCACGCCAACUGCUCGAUGAAAUGCUUCAUCCAAACUGACUUUUAAUUUCAUAUGCCUUUAUAUGAGGGGAAGUUGCUUACCAUGGGCCAUUUUUUGGGAUCAUUGUGGAUUAUCCAGAGAGAGAAGUUACUAUUAUAGAAAGUGUUCUUAAGAUUCUCGUUUGUUGUUAAAUCUUUAACAAAAUGUUAAAUGCUUACAUUUGCGGUGCUUUUGCAGUUGAAUAUAUGUUUACUUCAUUAAAACAACUGCCAUGGAGGCUAGAAUCAAACUAAGGUUGAGAGGAAAUUUUGGUGCCUGAUACCACAAAGAGAACACCAAAUCAAAUCUAUAUGGUUGGGCGUCAAGGGCGCAAGAAACUCAUUUAGAGGGCUGCACAAGGCAAAGAUCAAGGUUAUGAUCUGGUUUUAAACUUAAAAGAAGCAAUAUUUAGUGUUGAAAAAGACAUCAAAGUAACUUGUCAUGAAAGUUGUGGACCUUGCAACGAGUCUUGUGCCAAACCUAGGAGUAGUGCGCCCAAAAGCACAUGUGGUGAUCAAAGUGAAGUUGUCUAUUCAGCUUUGUUUAUGCAAUUUUAGCUCUCUAUAUUUGUAGAACUUAUACAUUGUUGUAAAUUUUUAUGAAUAUAAUAUCUGUAAAAUACGUUUAGAAACUUA